AUAUUGUGUUCCUAAGCCAUUGGACUCUUUCUUUCAGAAGGACAGGAUAGCAGGAUUAAUGAAGAGCUUAAUGAUCUCCUGCUGGGAUGAUGAGUCCAGGAAGUAGCUGCUGUAAAAGGAGAUUUUCUGGUACCAGCUGAGGAGCAUUUGUGGAGGAGCCAUGGAAGGUAUUUCUGUGGGGUGGGCAGUUGGCUUAGGAAGGUCAUAGGGAAGAGGAAAGAGUGGUUGCUAAUAUCUAAUUUAGAUUAUGGUCUUUUCAGAGAGAGGAGGUGUAUGGACUGAUUCAGAUUUCUUCUGAAGGCAAGCAGUGACAAGGAAGUCAGAAGUUAAGGUAUCCUAGAUUUCUGUAUAACCAAGAGUUAUCUGUAACUUCCUGCCUCACCCCAGGACACUGGGACAGAAGAGUUAUUCAAAGCAGUAUGCCAGAGGUGACCUAGGGCCCACUGUGUCUCCUUCAGGUAGUGAUAUUCCCAGAUAUUCCUCAAACCAGGGUACAGAGUCUCCUACUGGUGGGAUCAUGGAUUUAUACCUAUCUGAUGGUUUUGGAUGUGACCAGCAGCUGCAAAUCUCAAGAAGAUAUAUGGUGCAUCUUUUGCAAAGAUCAGCAAACCCCUGGGGAAAACCCCUUUGAAGAGAGGAUGGCUACAGGAGGACUAAAAGAAGGCUUGAGGAGAGCUUCAAAGGAG
rnacentral:lncRNA from 1 species